rnacentral:rRNA from 1 species
CCUACGGGGGGCUGCAGUGGGGAAUAUUGGACAAUGGGGGCAACCCUGAUCCAGCCAUGCCGCGUGAAUGAUGAAGGCCUUCGGGUUGUAAAGUUCUUUUGGUAGGGACGAUGAUGACGGUACCUACAGAAUAAGCUCCGGCUAACUUCGUGCCAGCAGCCGCGGUAAUACGAAGGGAGCUAGCGUUGUUCGGAAUUACUGGGCGUAAAGGGCGCGUAGGCGGUUCGACAAGUUGGAUGUGAAAGCCCAGGGCUCAACCCUGGAAUUGCAUUCAAAACUGUCUUACUUGAAUUCGGUAGAGGUUGGUGGAAUUCCCAGUGUAGAGGUGAAAUUCGUAGAUAUUGGGAAGAAUAUCCGUGGCGAAGGCGGCCAACUGGACCGACAUUGACGCUGAGGCGCGAAAGCGUGGGGAGCAAACAGGAUUAGAUACCCCUGUAGUC